rnacentral:rRNA from 1 species
UACGUAGGGUGCAAGCGUUGUCCGGAAUUAUUGGGCGUAAAGAGCUCGUAGGCGGUUUGUCGCGUCUGCUGUGAAAACGCGAGGCUCAACCUCGCGCCUGCAGUGGGUACGGGCAGACUAGAGUGUGGUAGGGGAGAUUGGAAUUCCUGGUGUAGCGGUGAAAUGCGCAGAUAUCAGGAGGAACACCGGUGGCGAAGGCGGGUCUCUGGGCCGAUACUGACGCUGAGGAGCGAAAGCGUGGGGAGCAAACAGG